GACGAACGCUGGCGGCGUGCUUAACACAUGCAAGUCGAACGGAGUGGCGAACGGGUGAGUAAAACGUGGGUGAUCUGCCUUGCACUUCGGGAUAAGCUUGGGAAACUGGGUCUAAUCCCGGAUAGUGCACUAGAAGCGCGCGGCCUAUCAGCUUGUUGGUGGGGUAAUGGCCUACCAAGGGGUCGACGGGUAGCCGGCCUGAGAGGGGGUACGGCCACAGUGGGACUGAGAUACGGCCCAGACUCCUACGGGGGGCAGCAGGGGGGAAUAUGGCACAAUGGGCGGAAGCCUUAUGCAGCGACGCCGCGUGGGGGAUGAAGGCCUUCGGGUUGUAAACUCCUUUCGACAGGGACGCGGUACCUGUAUAAGAAGCACCGGCUAACUACGUGCCAGCAGCCGCGGUAAUUC
rnacentral:rRNA from 1 species